UACUCCCUUCCCCUUUUUCCUAAUUCACGUGAAACUAGAGGAAAGAAAAAAAAGAGAGAACUCUUUCCCCUAUUCACGUAACUGCUCCUCCUCAACAAUCCCCUCCUUGCUGCCGCCGCUCACACCGCCGGACCCUCCUGCACGUCACCGGAAUCUUGUCGACGCCGCAACCUGAUUCGCGCAGCCACCGCCAAGUCGCGCCACCGUGUGCCGCCGUGCCCAGCCCCUGCCGCGAGCCACCUCUGUCCGCCGGCUCUCUCUCUCCUCCUUCUCGAAUUGGCGGAGAAUUCUCUUUAGGCGACUUUUGAAAGUGUUAAAGUGGUCUAUCAGUUUGUUUACACAAGUCUCUAAGGAUCAAUAAGCGUUGUCCAUCUACAGGUUUGAAGAUGAUGCAUCAUUGGGAUCGGGAUUAGAGAGCUUGUAGUUAUAUUUGUUUUAUUAAGUGAUUUGGGUUGUUAACUUGGAUUUGAAAGUUGUCGUACUAUUCGUAUUUCCUUAUUUCCGUUAAUUGGUUUUGGACUUAAUAUGUAAUCGAUUAUUUAUGAACCUAAAAGUUAGUUUUAUGUUUUCCGCUGCAAAAUUCUGAAUAAGCCGUUACGUUUUCACACGGGCGAUAAUACUUUGACAAUUCUCUAUAGUUAUAUUUAUAAAAGGGUUGUUUUAGAAAAAGAGAAUUGUCGGGGUGUUACAAAGUGGUAUCUAGAAGCUAAGGUUUUACUUAGCUAAUAUAUCAACAUUUUGAAGCUAAGGUGUUACAAAGUGUUACAGUUGACAUGCUGACCCACUUGGAGUUUGAGGAGCCUGUUUCUUCGAGUGAGGGCUCAUUGGUGAAGGUCGUAAAUGCGACAUGUGAAUCAAGCACCGCUGCUUGUCCAUCUGAUGUAGUUGUUGCUACCUGAUCUAUCUCCAUGGAACUCAAAUGUCAACGGCUCAAUUUAGUUUUACAUUGAUAUAUGUGAAUAGAAGAGUGGUUAAACUAUUGCUUUUUGUUGAUUGCACAUUGUAAUACUUUUUGAGUUGAUAUAUAAUUUUUGUCUCAUUUUUAUUA